rnacentral:rRNA from 1 species
AUUGAACGCUGGCGGCAGGCCUAACACAUGCAAGUCGAGCGGAUGAAGGGAGCUUGCUCCUGGAUUCAGCGGCGGACGGGUGAGUAAUGCCUAGGAAUCUGCCUGGUAGUGGGGGAUAACGUCCGGAAACGGGCGCUAAUACCGCAUACGUCCUGAGGGAGAAAGUGGGGGAUCUUCGGACCUCACGCUCUCAGAUGAGCGUAGGUCGGAUUAGCUAGUUGGUGGGGUAAAGGCCUACCAAGGCGACGAUCCGUAACUGGUCUGAGAGGAUGAUCAGUCACACUGGAACUGAGACACGGUCCAGACUCCUACGGGAGGCAGCAGUGGGGAAUUUUGGACAAUGGGCGAAAGCCUGAUCCAGCCAUGCCGCGUGUGUGAAGAAGGUCUUCGGAUUGUAAAGCACUUUAAGUUGGGAGGAAGGGCAGUAAGUUAAUACCUUGCUGUUUUGACGUUACCGACAGAAUAAGCACCGGCUAACUUCGUG